AUACUUACCUGGCAGGGGAGAUACCAUGAUACCAUGAUCACGAAGGUGGUUUUCCCAGGGCGAGGCUCAUCCAUUGCACUCCAGGUGUGCUGACCCCUGCGAUUUCCUCAAAUGUGGGAAACUCGACCGCAUAACUUUUGGUAGUGGGGGACUGCGUUCAUGCUAUCCCCUA